GCAAACUUGGUCAUUUAGAGGAAGUAAAAGUCGUAACAAGGUUUCCGUAGGUGAACCUGCGGAAGGAUCAUCAAAGAAAAAGAAAAAUUCUUUUCCAACAACCAACCUCCUCCUCCGCGAGGGGGGGGUUUGGUUUGUUCUUUUCAAAAUUUUUGAGGGAAAAACAAAAAAAAAGGAAAAUGGUAGAUUUCUUUUGCCAGCUGCUGCCCGCUUUUUUAUCCGGAGGGGGGGGCGAACGUGUUCGCUGUUUCCCCCUUUUUUUAAAAAGGAUAUUCUUGCGGGGAAUCUGUCUGUCUGUCUACCUUGUCCAUUAUUAUUAUUGUUUUUUUUUGUGUGGUUUUUAUAUGGUUUGAAUUUUUUUUCUCUCUUUGAGAGGGAAAAAAAGGAAAAUCUUUAGACAACUUUUAACAAUGGAUCUCUUGGUUCUCGCAUCGAUGAAGAACGCAGC
rnacentral:misc_RNA from 1 species